UACAAUUUAUUUAAUAUGUAUUAACACUAUCAACUGCGACAGGUGAACUUCAGAGUAAUUUUUUGUUUUGUUUCUUUUCCCUCAGUCGCAGCCCAGCAAGACAAAAAUCCUGAUGGAAGCUUUGUGUGGAAGUAUGCAAGAUGGUACGUCCUUCCUCAGACUUGCUUGCAGAUGUUGAGUGAAAUCACAUGGCCACGAUGAAAGAUGACACUCAUCAGGCUGGCGUGCAGCUGGAAGCACAGUGUCAUUACCUGGCCAUGUGGAGGACUGCAGUCAGCAGAUGCUGUGCAGGAAGUGGUGGCUUCAAAAUGCAUACCAGGGGCCUUAGAAAUCACAUGUAUGCAUUUCAAGUGGGACUCUGCCCUCCAUAGAUUUUGUUAUAAGGUAUU